rnacentral:rRNA from 1 species
CUAUGCGCCUUGCCAGCCCGCUCAGUCAGAGUUUGAUCCUGGCUCAGGACGAACGCUGGCGGCGUGCUUAACACAUGCAAGUCGAACGGAAAGGCCUCUUCGGAGGCACUCGAGUGGCGAACGGGUGAGUAACACGUGGGUGAUCUGCCCUGCACUCUGGGAUAAGCCUGGGAAACUGGGUCUAAUACCGGAUAGGACCAUGCUUUAGUGUGUGUGGUGGAAAGUUUUUUCGGUGUAGGAUGAGCCCGCGGCCUAUCAGCUUGUUGGUGGUAAUGGCCUACCAAGGCGGCGACGGGUAGCCGGACUGAGAGGUUGGUCGGCCACAUUGGGACUGAGAUACGGCCCAG